CCCGUGAACCUUUACUGUAGCUUUGCAUUGGACUUUGAAGUCACUUGUGUAGGAUAGGUGGGAGGCUAAGAAGCAGGAACGCUAGUUCUUGUGGAGCCGUCCUUGAAAUACCACCCUGGUGACUUUGAGGUUCUAACCCGGAUCCAUAAUCUGGAUCGGGGACCGUGCAUGGUAGGCAGUUUGACUGGGGCGGUCUCCUCCCAAAGAGUAACGGAGGAGUUCGAAGGUUACCUAGGUCCGGUCGGAAAUCGGACUGAUAGUACAAUGGCACAAGGUAGCUUAACUGCGAGACCGACAAGUCGAGCAGGUGCGAAAGCAGGACAUAGUGAUCCGGUGGUUCUGAAUGGAAGGGCCAUCGCUCAACGGAUAAAAGGUACUCCGGGGAUAACAGGCUGAUUCCGCCCAAGAGUUCAUAUCGACGGCGGAGUUUGGCACCUCGAUGUCGGCUCAUCACAUCCUGGGGCUGUAGUCGGUCCCAAGGGUAUGGCUGUUCGCCAUUUAAAGUGGUACGUGAGCUGGGUUUAAAACGUCGUGAGACAGUUUGGUCCCUAUCUGCAGUGGGCGUUGGAAGUUUGACGGGGGCUGCUCCUAGUACGAGAGGACCGGAGUGGACGAACCUCUGGUGUACCGGUUGUGACGCCAGUCGCAUCGCCGGGUAGCUAAGUUCGGAAGAGAUAAACGCUGAAAGCAUCUAAGCGUGAAACUCGCCUGAAGAUGAGACUUCCCUAGGGAUUUAAUCCCUCUGAAGAGACGUUCGAGACCAGGACGUUGAUAGGUCGGGUGUGGAAGAGUGGUAACACUUGGAGCUAACCGAUACUAAUUGCUCGUGAGGCUUGACUCUAU
rnacentral:rRNA from 1 species